CUUAGUGGGCUGAAUAUCGGAGGGAACCACUACAACAAGAACCCCCGCAUAGCAACGCAUGUCUACCAAAGAUAACAAAGAAUGCGUUGUUUAGUUAAACCUCCCACCUCCCCACUUAGCGCUGAUCUCCUCGUUCCCUUCAAAAUAGCAGCUAACUUCCACGUGCCCACCUUCAAUAUUGUACCUCCUCCGUCCAAACAUUGUUAAAAAAGAAAAAACAAAUUUCCUUAUCCUUCUCUUCCAUCCUCCCCCGAUUUCUCUCCUACCAGAGCUCCAUAACCACGACGCCGCAUCCGCCGCCGCUGCUGCCUCCUACGAUUUGGGCGAGCUCCGGCGCUCUCCCGCGGCAUAGCUUGCCGGCCCUGCCACCCUCAGUGCUCCCAGCGGAUCAUCCACUUCCGCGACGUCCUCAACGCCCCUGCCCGUGCCCCUGCAUCAACCCUAGUCGCCAUGGGUCGAGGGCGCAGCCCCUGCCCCUCCGGUUGGUCGGCUCGCUACCCCCCGCAUCUCCGGACGGGCGGUUGCCGCCACAGGCUGGACGGCGCUGUUCCGCCACGUCUACCUCGACUCCGGCGCCAAUAGUUCAGUGAGACACUUCUCCCCUAUGUUCUUAUCCUCUCUGGUAUUUUAUGUGGCAUGGCUACCAAGGGUUUGUCAUCAUGGCAUCGUAGAUGACGGCUGGAUAUACCAAUACCUACAGCCGCUCUCUCCCAGGGAGGCUGCCAUGGUCGCCUACUGCCUACCUCAUCGCUCACCUGGAUUAUCUCCCUGGAGAACGUGACAAUUCCGUUAUUUCCACUAAUCUGUCCCCCCCCCCCCCGAAUUUAACAACAUUGUGGCUUCUAUAAUUCCAUUGGCAUUUGGUUCCCUAGCUUCUCUAACCUUCCACUUGUGCUAUGGGUGGACCAAUUACUUUAUUAAAUUUAUGGCUAGUGUUCUCUUUUUUUUGUUGAAGGAAACCUGAUGCUCUAAUUUUGCUAUGCAGGUUUCUGCUGGUGAUCUUCUGCUUUAGUUGUUCAAACCAUAAUCGUGUUUGCAUAUCCAUAUGUACUUAUUUCUAUAGAUGUAUAUCAUAUUCUAGAGUGCUAGAUUACACUGGAGAACAAAACAAUUAGUUGUCCACCAGUCUUGUUUAUAUCAAUGCUUGCAUCCUCCCAGGCUUAUCAGGAGAGAAUCUAGUUUUCCAUGGAAACAAGGUGAUCGUGCAUUAUUUAUUCACUCGUGUUACUAAAGCUUCUGUUGUCAAGGAGGCAAUAAUAUUCCAAGUACAUAACUACUUCUUAUUCAGUAAUAUUAAGCAUGAUUAUACAAAACUACAUAUUAAAAAGGUAUAUGAAUCAUAGUCUAGACAUCUCACACUUGCUAGCAUGCGUAAGUGUGUAUGUAAAUUUGAUCGAUUUUGUUUAACUUUAGGUACUUCUAAAUUCUCAUAUGUUUGUAUUUAUUCACAUAUUAUGAUGAACUACAAUCUUUUCUAGAUCAGACGAAAGCAUAACAACAAAAAAUGUUUCAUGAGAUGCCACUUCACAUCUUUUAUUCUCACCAGUAUGCGAAUUUUAAGUUGUUACUUAGUGAACUAUAGUCUUGCAGGUUUACACAUAAUAUUAAAGAUAUAAAUCUACAUGAUGUAAUCAGAUUGCGCAUUUGAAUGAGUGCUGCAAGCUGGGAAGGUAAAUAUGACCAGCGAUGAUGGCAGUACGUCAAUGACGUCAUGGAGGUGUGGUGUUCAUCGAUCCCUUCUCUCUUUUUGUUUGUGCGGGUGGCGUGUGUAUAUGGAUUCAUCUUUAUAUGUCAUGUUAAUUGUUCAUUUAGAUUGAUCUCUCUCUCCGAGAACGUUUGCCCCAUGUAUUUGAUAUCAUCUUAGAAAAGAUUGAUUAGUUUUGGUGCCAACUCUUUCUAGAUUAUUUCAGAUAUGAUGUCUCGAUUAGAAAAAUAAUAUCACUAGAGGUAUUUUCUGUUGUAAUUUGUGUAUGUGUUUUUCAUGUUGUGCAAUAGUAUUUUUUUCUCUUUCUCAAGAAUCUUAAUUAUUGAUGCAUAUGAUUGUAGGAUAAUUAACUCUAACAACUGCUCUGUGCCUGCGCCUAUUCAUAUGCUCUGACUUCGGAAGUGCAAACCAAUAAAAAGCAGAGAGAUGCAGAAUAUGCAGUUUACUAUAGCUGCAAUUGGCAUUAACUAUCUUCAAGAUAUGGAGUUAUGGAUGCCAAGGGAAACUGAUCAUUUUGGUUUUAGUUAAUGAAGGUUGAACAUGUCAGUCUAGAUGCUCAUGUGAUGAGCUUAGUUUUUUGUUUCCUUCAAUGAAGCUUCGAUCUGUUUCUGUGUAGAGUGCACAUGCUCUUGUAAAACACAUCUGUACAAGAUGAUGGUGUAAAGCAACAAUGUGUUCUUUGGAUGGUGUUCUUUGUAAAACAACAUUGUUGAUUUAAUAUAUGAGGUCUUUCUUACUA